rnacentral:rRNA from 1 species
CGAAAGUUCCCUUCGGGGAGCAAGUAGAGUGGCGCACGGGUGAGUAACACGUAGGUAAUCUACCUUUGGAUUGGGAAUAACACCGAGAAAUCGGUGCUAAUACCGAAUAAUGCAGCGGCACCUAAUGGUGACAGUUGUUAAAGCGGGGGAUCGCAAGACCUCGCGUCUAAAGAGGAGCCUGCGGCGGAUUA